UUUCAUAGGUUUGAAGUUCCUUAAAUAAAAUAAAAUAUUUCCCAAAAGCAGUCCCCACGCAAAACGUUACCGUGCGUGCGUUACGACAUGGAAUGCGGAGCAGCCCGAGUGCCGGCCGCGCUGGCCCAGGCCUGCUCAGAGUGGACCCGCUUCCCAGCUGGGCUCCUUCCUGUCGGGGUGCGCGGGGCACGGUGAUGCCUGUUGGGCAACGUCGAGAGGAGGAAACGGGAACCUCAAAAUGCAAAGGAAGUUUACGGAUCUUGCUGUGUGUUUCAGGCUGACUUUGAACUCUUGGUGAUCCUCCUGGCUCAGCCUCCCAAGCCCUGGGAUCACAGGCACCACCACCACCGCCUGUGCUGCUGAGACGGACGGACCCAGGCCGGAGCCCACCAGCAACACAUGUGCUACCCUGAGGGCCAGCCUCCCACCCGCAUCAGGCUUCUGAGACUUCAGAGUGACCACACUUUCCCCGUAGCUGCUGCUCAGGGUCUCCAGGAAUUCAGAAGUAGAAGAGGUGUUGUUUCCAAACCGUCACAUACUGCAGAAAGGAACUCGGGGCCUUGCUGUUUUCGUGAAGCCACCGUGAUAUCCCAGAGAAGUAUGUGCCACCGUUCUGUGUGAAAGAGAAAAAUCCAUUUUCUAUCCUUCAGGUGGGGAGGGAAUUAGGAACGCAGCUGUGUGCUAGUUGGUCCAGUACCAUCGAGGAGAACCCGAGCUGCCAUGCAGCAAACCCAGCCCACUCCUCGAAGGACGGCAGCUGGGCCAGGCGCAGCCCGGAGGCCCUGGGACCUGCAAGCAGGUGCUACGUACCCAGGUGACCUGGACCUAAUUUGGGGACUUUCUCUUACAAAAAAUCAAGGACUUCUGUGUGCAGAGGCAGUGCUGCUCUCCGUAGUUUAAGAAAAAAGAAGUGGUAAGGAAUUUGAUAACCAUUCACGGCAGUCAAAACAGCUGAUUGUCUUUUGAACAGGAAUCCUCCAUCCACACCUCGGGUGGGGAAGCCGGGACCACGUACAAUGAACAAAGGGCAGCAGAGUUCCCCAUGGAGUGUGCAGGCCACGGACACGCCGGUCCUCGGUCUCAGGGUCACAAGUAGGAGAGCAGCUUUGUAAAUGCCACAGGACAGGACCUGAGGGACGUCCCCUGCGGAGGACCUCUGAACCUCACUUCUGUUCCUGGAAAGUCACAGUGGCCCACAAACACUGUCUGGUUCGUUCUAUGUCCGUAGGUCCUGGGGUCAGGGACAGGGUGGGCAUGGGGGCCAAGCUGUAGGGGACAGCUCAGGGCCUGCUGCCUGACCACCAGCAAGCACCCAGAUGGGAAGCUCCUGCUACAGUGCAGGACCCUUUCCAAGGUGAAACAAGAUGACCUUAGAGGUCAGACUCCCAAUUAUGAUUUAAAUAAAGGAUUCUCACAUCCA